CAAACUGAAGCAUUUCGUAUACAUUAUUUGUCUUCAGGAAGGCAGUGAGUUUCUGCGCAACAGCUUUUUCUAAAUAAUUUCAGCAAAAUGGGAGAUUCGAUAUAGGCCGAUAGUUUAAAAAAAAACAUUUUCCGGGUCAAGGUUUGGCUUUUUCAAGAGAGUCUUUAUUACUGCCACUUUUAGUGAGUUUGGUACACAUCCGGUGGAUAGAGAGCCUUUUAUUAUGUUCAACAAAGGAGGGCCAAGCACAGGAAGCAGCUCUUUCAGUAGUUUAGUUGGAAGCUUAUGGAUGGCUACAACAAGCAUUUGUUGGCAGUUAUCUUUGCCAAAGACUGUGCAACCAACUACUCGGUCCGGGGUGCACACAAUGUCCAUUUACUAAAAUAAAAUUGGUUCUGCAAUGUAGAAAAAGCCAAUAACAAGGUGAGGUGACCAAAAGUUAUAUCUAAAUGUAAACUUAUUUUAGAAGAAAUAGAGACAUUUUUAAAGAAAAGUGCAAGGGUGCUUUAAUCAGAUUCCAUCAUGGAUGAUUGUUUUAUCCAUUUGAAUACAGGGGAUAUCAUAGGCCACUCCAUUAGUAGACUACUGCAGAGGAACCCUCAUGUUCUCUCCUGGAUCACAUUGGUAUUCACUAUUACACAUGCGCCGAAUACAACAGGUGUAGGUAGACAUUACAGUGAAAUGCUGAAUACAACAGGUGUAGUAGACCUCACAGUGAAAUGCUGAAUACAACAGGUGUAGGUAGACAUUACAGUGAAAUGCUGAAUACAACAGGUGUAGGUAGACAUUACAGUGAAAUGCUGAAUACAACAGGUGUAGGUAGACCUUACAGUGAAAUGCUGAAUACAACAGGUGUAGGUAGACAUUACAGUGAAAUGCUGAAUACAACAGGUGUAGGUAGACCUUACAGUGAAAUGCUGAAUACAACAGGUGUAGUAGACAUUACAGUGAAAUGCUGAAUACAACAGGUGUAGUAGACAUUACAGUGAAAUGCUGAAUACAACAGGUGUAGGUAGACAUUACAGUGAAAUGCUGAAUACAACAGGUGUAGGUAGACAUUACAGUGAAAUGCUGAAUACUACAGGUGUAGUAGACCUCACAGUGAAAUGCUGAAUACAACAGGUGUAGUAGACCUUACAGUGAAAUGCUGAAUACAACAG
ensembl:lncRNA